rnacentral:misc_RNA from 1 species
GAUGAAGAAACGUAGUGAAAUGCGAUACUUGGUGUGAAUUGCAGAAUCCCGUGAACCAUCGAGUCUUUGAACGCAAGUUGCGCCCGAAGCCAUUAGGCCGAGGGCACGCCUGCCUGGGCGUCACACGUCGUUGCCCCCCCAUCUACUCCUUCGGGAUUGCGGGGGGCGGAUGAUGGCCUCUCGUGCGCCUCGUCGCGCGGUUGGCCUAAAUGCCAAGUCCUCGGCGACGCACGCCACGACAAUCGGUGGUUGCGAAACCUCGGUUGCCUGUCGUGUGCGGUCGUCGCGCAUCGAGGGCUCGAAAAAAUUGCCGGGCUUCGGCUCGACUUUCAACGCGACCCCAGGUCAGGCGGGGUUACCCGCUGAAUUUAAGCAUAUCAAUAAGCGGAGGA